UACAGAGGGUGCAAGCGUUGUUCGGAAUUAUUGGGCGUAAAGGGCGCGUAGGCGGUGCGGUAAGUCUGCGGUGAAAUCUCCCGGCUCAACUGGGAGUCUGCCGUGGAAACUGCCGUGCUUGAGUGUGGGAGAGGUGAGUGGAAUUCCUGGUGUAGCGGUGAAAUGCGCAGAUAUCAGGAAGAACACCCGUGGCGAAGGCGGCUCUCUGGGACGGUACUGACGCUGAGACGCGAAAGCGUGGGGAGCGAACAGG
rnacentral:rRNA from 1 species